GGCGUGGUACCCAAGUGGUAAGGGAGCGGUCUGCAAAACCGUUAUGCACGAGUUCGAAUCUCGUCCACGCCUCCA
rnacentral:tRNA from 1 species